rnacentral:rRNA from 1 species
GACGAACGCUGGCGGCGUGCUUAACACAUGCAAGUCGAACGGAAAGGCCCUGCUUUUGUGGGGUGCUCGAGUGGCGAACGGGUGAGUAACACGUGAGUAACCUGCCCUUGACUUUGGGAUAACUUCAGGAAACUGGGGCUAAUACCGGAUAGGAGCUCCUGCUGCAUGGUGGGGGUUGGAAAGUUUCGGCGGUUGGGGAUGGACUCGCGGCUUAUCAGCUUGUUGGUGGGGUAGUGGCUUACCAAGGCUUUGACGGGUAGCCGGCCUGAGAGGGUGACCGGCCACAUUGGGACUGGGAUACGGCCCAGACCCCUACGGGGGGCAGCGGGGGGGAAUAUUGCAAAAGGGGCGGAAGCCUGAUGCAGCAACGCCGGGGGGGGGAUGACGGCCUUCGGGUUGUAAACCGCUUUCCCCUGGGACGAAGGGGGAGUGGCGGUAAUGGGUAAAGAAGCACCGGCUAACUACGU